AUUGAACGCUGGCGGCAGGCCUAACACAUGCAAGUCGAACGGUAACAGGAAGCAGCUUGCUGCUUUGCUGACGAGUGGCGGACGGGUGAGUAAUGUCUGGGAAACUGCCCGAUGGAGGGGGAUAACUACUGGAAACGGUAGCUAAUACCGCAUAACGUCGCAAGACCAAAGAGGGGGACCUUAGGGCCUCUUGCCAUCGGAUGUGCCCAGAUGGGAUUAGCUAGUAGGUGGGGUAACGGCUCACCUAGGCGACGAUCCCUAGCUGGUCUGAGAGGAUGACCAGCCACACUGGAACUGAGACACGGUCCAGACUCCUACGGGAGGCAGCAGUGGGGAAUAUUGCACAAUGGGCGCAAGCCUGAUGCAGCCAUGCCGCGUGUAUGAAGAAGGCCUUCGGGUUGUAAAGUACUUUCAGCGGGGAGGAAGGGAGUAAAGUUAAUCCCUUUGCUCAUUGACGUUACCCGAAGAAGAAGCACCGGCUAACUCCGUG
rnacentral:rRNA from 1 species